UUCAUAACAUCAAGAUCUUCUGUAUGUUUUGUCCAUUCACUGAGGUUUGCACUCGGAAUACGAACACAACUACAGUAAAUUUUCUAGAUUUAAAUUAAUUUACCAUAGAACUAACGUAAACCGUAAAAAAGUAAAGCAACUUAAUUGAUCAAUCAAAAAGGAGGAUAUUUUUUAUUUGAGGAGGACACGAGGAGGACAUUUACGCUAGGAGGACAGCAUACAUGAAAGGAGGACUGUCCUCCUCAAAGGAGUACGUCUGGUCACCUUACAACUGAAAGCCUUGAUCUUCAUCCCUACAAUAGAUAUCUGAAACAUGCCAGAUCUGCAUAACAGGAAUGUCAAAGAGGUUCUACCCAAAACACGCCCACAUGGCCAUCCUAAUAUCAAGAUUUUUCAAAAUUUCUAUAACAAAAAAGAUGAAAAAACCAAUAAAAUUUCAGGAGCAUAGUGUUAAGAGUUCUGUAGAUGAUUAUGAGAUCUCUUGAAACAACAGAAUGUUUAAUAAAGAUUUUUAACUUUCCUAAUAGUAAAAUUACAAUUAUUACUAAACAGUAAGUUGAAGUAAGUUUUAAAUUAAGAAAAUGCAACUAACACCGAAAGAAAAAUGAAAGUUACUGAAAAUAAAAAACUUUAUUGCAGUACCUACAUACACUUUCUACAUCUAAUUUUGUUUAUUGAUCACAUUCAUUUACUUGAAAAAGUAUCAGGCCUAUGAAUCGUCGUCUGGAAACAGCUAACCACACACCAACCUUCAUUGCGUGUGAUGGUGUUUCUUCAAAAGCGUGAGUAUUUUCUAUACACCAAAUUCUGAAGUUCUGUCAGUUGACAUAAUAGCCUAACAGAUGAAACCAGGCUUCAUCAGAAAAGAACGACAAAUCGAGAAUCCCGUUAUCGUCCAUAUCAGCUUGAAACCAACUACAAUACCCAACGCGGCAAGGAAAAUCAGCUGGUUGCAGCUCCUGAACCAACAAAAUCUUGUAUGGAUGCAUAUGUAACUUCUCUUUUACGAUUUUCUGACAUGGGCUGUAUGGUACUCCGGACAGUAAAGAUUUUUGACAAA